GGUGAACGCUGGCGGCGUGCUUAACACAUGCAAGUCGAACGGAAAGGCCCAAGCUUGCUUGGGUACUCGAGUGGCGAACGGGUGAGUAACACGUGGGUGAUCUGCCCUGCACUUCGGGAUAAGCCUGGGAAACUGGGUCUAAUACCGGAUAGGACGAUGGUUUGGAUGCCAUUGUGGAAAGUUUUUUCGGUGUGGGAUGAGCUCGCGGCCUAUCAGCUUGUUGGUGGGGUAAUGGCCUACCAAGGCGUCGACGGGUAGCCGGCCUGAGAGGGUGUACGGCCACAUUGGGACUGAGAUACGGCCCAGACUCCUACGGGGGGCAGCAGUGGGGAAUAUUGCACAAUGGGCGCAAGCCUGAUGCAGCGACGCCGCGUGGGGGAUGACGGCCUUCGGGUUGUAAACUCCUUUCGCUAGGGACGAAGCGUUUUUGUGACGGUACCUGGAGAAGAAGCACCGGCUAACUACGUG
rnacentral:rRNA from 1 species